CAUCUGCCAAGUGCACUGAGACCCUAAGGCUCUCUCUCUCUGCUUUUCUCUCAUUCUCUCUCCCUCUUUAGGAUCCCCAUGGAGGGCCUAAUGGAAACUAGCCCAUGCAGGGACCUUGGCAUCAUCCUACGACCUUGCCAGCCCCAGAUGGGUAUCUGCCUUCCAGACUCAGGCCUCAGACUGGUCCAUAGGCCUGGGCUAGAGUGUCAGUGGCAGCCAGGGGUCUUCUCCAUCUCCAGAGGCCUUUAUAGGGCCGGCCAGAAUAUACAGUCCCUUCUGGCAAUAACCACUGGCACCCAGGAUCACGAACGUGAACUUUCAUCCUGUGUCAGGUUGUCAAAGCUUGGUCGUGAUUGUUGCUUGGUCACUUUUUGUGCUUUGCAGAUUGGGAGGAGUGACCUCUGGAGCCUGUACCCACCCCACCUUAUCCCAGUGGGCUUAGGUUAGCUUUGUGCCUUAGUAUCUCUGACCCACUGCAGGAGCCACCCAUCAUCCCUCAGCUGUCCAUGGGGAUUGGGGCCCUGUGGCUGGCUGGCUUAUGCAUGCAUCUGGUCAGAGUCCCAUUGAGGACACACCAUCUUUGAGACUUUCAGGAGCCUGGGGCAAGGGUUCUCAGGCCCUGUUUUGUCUUCCUUUGUGGGUGUCCGAGAAGCCAAGAGCCAUGAUGUAGCUCAGCAGGCUGGGCCCAGUGUCCAGCUGCUGCAUCCAGGGGUGAGUGUCCUCCACCUUAGGAGGCUGGGGAUUCACCCUUUCCUUUUGCUUGUACUGCCUUGAUUAUGAUUUUCCCAGGGCGGUGGUGGAGGUUGGGAAGACAGCUGAGGGAUCCUGAGGGCUGAAGGAAAGCUGCCCAGCCAAACCCUUAACUGUGGUCUGGAUCCCAAGCCUCAACCAACCUAAGAAACCUCAGUGGCCACAGUGCUACUUUACUAGCCCAGUUCUCACACUACCGCCUGAGAUCUGACCCCAGUGAUGUUGCCCCUCUUUCUACAUGGGCAGAGGCUGGUCUUGCCUACCUCCUGGUAGACAGGGGCACCUUGUGAUAUUGGGAAGAGUAAGGUAUUGCCCCUGUGUCUCUGAGCCUGGGCUCUGACCACUGGACUUAACCCUGGCAAUUUUUCCUCCUACUCUCAACCCCAGCGACCAUGAUGACCUGAGCCCUGGCUGGCAGCACCCGUGCCCUACCUCUCUGUCUUUGCUCUGCCCGUUCCCUAUGAGGCACUGGUCAGUUGCCAGCAUCUAAAUGUCCAUCACUCUCAGACCAAAAA
rnacentral:lncRNA from 1 species